rnacentral:rRNA from 1 species
UACGGGGGGGGUAAGCGUUGUUCGGAAUUACUGGGCGUAAAGGGCUCGUAGGCGGCCAACUAAGUCAGACGUGAAAUCCCUCAGCUUAACUGGGGAACUGCGUCUGAUACUGGAUGGCUUGGAUCCGGAAGAGGGAUGCGGAAUUCCAGGUGUAGCGGUGAAAUGCGUAGAUAUCAGGAGGAACACCGGUGGCGAAGGCGGGUCUCUGGGCCGAUACUGACGCUGAGGAGCGAAAGCGUGGGGAGCGAACAGG